ncrna:Halonotius sp. J07HN4 leuA-Halobacteria RNA
CUCCAACGAGGAUAGAGGAAGUCGGGGCGACCCGGCUGGCCGCGAAAUUCUCC